UGACUAGGUCGCGACUGGCGUAAGGUGGUCAACCACCGGGGAGCGGCGUUGGACGCCUAUUUGACGGCGUUCGGCAGAGUGCAGACCAUGGAUCGAACGCCUGGGACCGGGGU
rnacentral:ncRNA from 22 species